ensembl:lncRNA
AGAAGGUAAAAGAAACAAUGUGGUUUAAGUCAAGGUGAAAAUAGAUAUGAAAAUAGAUAACUAAUAUAGUUUCCCUUCUUCACAUUAUGUGUGAUAACUUGAGAAAUAUGUUGUCAAUACUAUUAAAAUGAGAAAAAAACGUAAUGGUACUUAGGGGAUUACAGUUUUUGCAUAAAUACUAUAUUGGGCUUUAUUAAAGUUUAUGAAAAUAGAAUGCAUGUAUAUGCAUUUUAUAUUUAUGCACAUAAAUGAAACAUUUUCAAAUCUCUGAACAGAUAUUGAAGUAUUAGCUAUCCUGUGGCGCCAUCGUGUGGAUAUCAUUAGCAUUGUGGCCUUCAUUUCUGAACAACAUUAUGAAAGGGGCCAAUAUUUUUUGAAUGAUUACAAAUGUUUAAUGAUUAGUUCACUGAUAAUAUACCCACAUUAAAAUCGAAUUUACUGAUUCUGUAUCUUAUUUCAUGCUUUAAGAGUUUAUUUUUCAACUUACAUUUUCAAGUAGUGAUGAAUGAUAACUAUGUGAGUUGAUAAAUUAUUUUUUUGCAAUUAUAAUACAUAAACUAUAUAAUGAUGACAAAAUUACAACAGUUAUUUUUUUCAUAAUAUUUAUUAUUGACAAUACAAAAUAUAGACAUAUAAAAAAAGCUGCCAAGACGAAUGAUUUGUCUUGCACCGAAAAGCCAGAAUCAGCGUCCUCUGUAACUCGAGAGAUCGAUGCAAUGUCUUUUUCUGCCCUAAGACAAAAAAAAAAAAUAUCUCACAAGCACUCAUUUUAAUCUCUAUAAUAUAUUCUUCUAAUUGUUUUGUACUGAUUCACUGGAGAGUUUUAAUGUAAAAGGCUGUAGUUUCA